rnacentral:rRNA from 1 species
UACGUAGGGGGCAAGCGUUAUCCGGAUUCACUGGGUGUAAAGGGAGCGUAGACAGCCAUGCAAGCCUGGAGUGAAAGCCCGGGGCCCAACCCCGGGACUGCUCUGGGAACUGUGCGGCUGGAGUGCGGGAGGGGCAGGCGGAAUUCCUGGUGUAGCGGUGAAAUGCGUAGAUAUCAGGAGGAACACCGGCGGCGAAGGCGGCCUGCUGGACCGCGACUGACGUUGAGGCUCGAAAGCGUGGGGAGCAAACAGG